rnacentral:rRNA from 1 species
AGUCACUGACAUUAGAUACCCCUGUAGUCCAGGGUGUAAACGCUGCAGACUUGGUGUUGGGAACCCUUCGGGGGUGCUCAGUGCCGGAGAGAAGUUGUUAAGUCUGCUACUUGGGGAGUACGUCCGCAAGGAUGAAACUUAAAGGAAUUGGCGGGGGAGCACCGCAACGGGGGGAGCGUGCGGUUUAAUUGAAUUCAACACCGUAAAACUCACCAGGGAAGACUGUUACAUGAAGGCCGAGCUAAAGACUCUGCUAGAUUUUCAG